GUGAGGAAUAUUGGUCAAUGGGCGGAAGCCUGAACCAGCCAAGUAGCGUGCAGGAUGACGGCCCUAUGGGUUGUAAACUGCUUUUAUACAGGAAUAAAGUUAGCCACGUGUGGUUAUUUGUAGGUACUGUAUGAAUAAGGACCGGCUAAUUCCGUGCCAGCAGCCGCGGUAAUACGGAAGGUCCAGGCGUUAUCCGGAUUUAUUGGGUUUAAAGGGAGCGUAGGCCGUCUGUUAAGCGUGUUGUGAAAUGUAGAUGCUCAACAUCUGAAUUGCAGCGCGAACUGGCAGACUUGAGUGUGCGCAACGUAGGCGGAAUUCGUGGUGUAGCGGUGAAAUGCUUAGAUAUCACGAAGAACUCCGAUUGCGAAGGCAGCUUACGGGAGCACAACUGACGCUGAAGCUCGAAAGUGCGGGUAUCGAACAGGAUUAGAUACCCCAGUAGUCC
rnacentral:rRNA from 1 species